rnacentral:rRNA from 1 species
UACGGAGGGGGCAAGCGUUAUUCGGAAUUAUUGGGCGUAAAGGGCGCGUAGGCGGCUAGAUGUGUCAAAGGUGAAAUCCCUCGGCUCAACUGAGGAACUGCCUUUGAAACUGUCUGGCUUGAGGCCGGGAGAGGGUAGCGGAAUUCCCAGUGUAGCGGUGAAAUGCGUAGAUAUUGGGAGGAACACCAGUGGCGAAGGCGGCUGCCUGGACCGGUUCUGACGCUGAGGCGCGAAAGCGUGGGGAGCAAAAGGG